UAGGGAAUCUUCGGCAAUGGGGGCAACCCUGACCGAGCAACGCCGCGUGAGUGAAGAAGGUUUUCGGAUCGUAAAGCUCUGUUGUAAGAGAAGAACGUGUGUGAGAGUGGAAAGUUCACACAGUGACGGUAACUUACCAGAAAGGGACGGCUAACUACGUGCCAGCAGCCGCGGUAAUACGUAGGUCCCGAGCGUUGUCCGGAUUUAUUGGGCGUAAAGCGAGCGCAGGCGGUGUAAUAAGUCUGAAGUUAAAGGCAGUGGCUUAACCAUUGUUCGCUUUGGAAACUGUUAGACUUGAGUGCAGAAGGGGAGGGUGGAAGUCCAUGUGUAGCGGUGAAAUGCGUAGGUAGAUGGGGGAACACCGGUGGCGGAAGCGGCUCUCUGGUCUGUAACGGACGCUGAGGCUCGAAAGCGUGGGGAGCAAACAGG
rnacentral:rRNA from 1 species